rnacentral:rRNA from 1 species
UUNUGAACUGGGUGACUAGAGUGUNUCAGAGGUAGGUAGAAUUCCACGUGUAGCAGUGAAAUGCGUAGAGAUGUGGAGGAAUACCGAUGGCGAAGGCAGCCUCCUGGGAUAACACUGACGUUCAUGCCCGAAAGCGUGGGUAGCAANCAGGAUUAGAUACCCUGGUAGUCCACGCCCUAAACGAUGUUGAUUAGCUGUUGGGCAGCAUGACUGCUUAGUAGCGAAGCUAACGCGUGAAAUCGACCGCCUGGGGAGUACGGUCGCAAGAUUAAAACUCAAAGGAAUUGACGGGGACCCGCACAAGCGGUGGAUGAUGUGGAUUAAUUCGAUGCAACGCGAAGAACCUUACCUGGUCUUGACAUGUACGGAACCCUCCAGAGACGGAGGGGUGCCUUCGGGAGCCGUAACACAGGUGCUGCAUGGCUGUCGUCAGCUCGUGUCGUGAGAUGUUGGGUUAAGUCCCGCAACGAGCGCAACCCUUGUCAUUAGUUGCCAUCAUUAAGUUGGGCACUCUAAUGAGACUGCCGGUGACAAGCCGGAGGAAGGUGGGGAUGACGUCAAGUCCUCAUGGCCCUUAUGACCAGGGCUUCACACGUCAUACAAUGGUCGGUACAGAGGGUAGCCGAGCCGCGAGGUGGAGCCAAUCUCACAAAACCGAUCGUAGUCCGGAUUGCACUCUGCAACUCGAGUGCAUGAAGUCGGAAUCGCUAGUAAUCGCAGGUCAGCAUACUGCGGUGAAUACGUUCCCGGGUCUUGUACACACCGCCCGUCACACCAUGGGAGUGGGGGAUACCAGAAGUAGGUAGGGUAACCGCAAGGAGCCCGCUUA